AGAGUUUGAUCCUGGCUCAGGAUGAACGCUGGCGGCGUGCCUAACACAUGCAAGUCGAACGAAGCUUGACGGAUGAUUUCUUCGGAAUGAAACCUGAUAUGACUUAGUGGCGGACGGGUGAGUAACACGUGAGCAACCUGCCUUUCAGAGGGGGAUAACGGCUGGAAACGGUCGCUAAUACCGCAUGAUGUGUUCGGAUGGCAUCAUCUGAACAUCAAAGAUUUAUCGCUGAAAGAUGGGCUCGCGUCUGAUUAGAUAGUUGGUGGGGUAACGGCCUACCAAGUCUACGAUCAGUAGCCGGACUGAGAGGUUGAACGGCCACAUUGGGACUGAGAUACGGCCCAGACUCCUACGGGAGGCAGCAGUGGGGAAUAUUGCACAAUGGGGGAAACCCUGAUGCAGCAACGCCGCGUGAAGGAUGACGGUUUUCGGAUUGUAAACUUCUUUUCUUAGUGACGAAGAAAGUGACGGUAGCUAAGGAAUAAGCAUCGGCUAACUACGUGCCAGCAGCCGCGGUAAUACGUAGGAUGCAAGCGUUAUCCGGAUUUACUGGGUGUAAAGGGAGCGCAGGCGGGACUGCAAGUUGGAUGUGAAAUACCGUGGCUUAACCACGGAACUGCAUCCAAAACUGUAGUUCUUGAGUGAAGUAGAGGCAAGCGGAAUUCCGAGUGUAGCGGUGAAAUGCGUAGAUAUUCGGAGGAACACCAGUGGCGAAGGCGGCUUGCUGGGCUUUAACUGACGCUGAGGCUCGAAAGUGUGGGGAGCAAACAGGAUUAGAUACCCUGGUAGUCCACACUGUAAACGAUGAUAGCUAGGUGUGGGGGGUCUGACCCCUUCCGUGCCGGAGUUAACGCAAUAAGCUAUCCACCUGGGGAGUACGACCGCAAGGUUGAAACUCAAAGGAAUUGACGGGGGCCCGCACAAGCAGUGGAUUAUGUGGUUUAAUUCGAAGCAACGCGAAGAACCUUACCAGGUCUUGACAUCCGACUAACGAGAUAGAGAUAUGUCAGGUGCCCUUCGGGGAAAGUCGAGACAGGUGGUGCAUGGUUGUCGUCAGCUCGUGUCGUGAGAUGUUGGGUUAAGUC
rnacentral:rRNA from 1 species